rnacentral:lncRNA from 1 species
AAGUACUGAUGAAUCAAGGGAGCUUUAAUCAUUAUUGAAAUUAAUGUUCACACAUCAUACACUAUGAAAUUCAACAGUCCAUACAUGUCCAUACAUGUCAUUUUCCUAUCCAUCACACAUAAUCGAGAGUUGGCUGCAUUCUUGUAAAACACAAAUGGAAAUAUUGUAAGAACAAACCUGGCUCCCCUUAGAAGAAGGCUACUUUGGCUCCAUUCUCUUGGCUGAAACUCAAACCAGGAAAAAAAGAUACACACAUUCUCUAUCAGGAGAAAAUAAGGUCAUUUCGACUAAAUACACAGUUUUAAUCCCCUUCUUUUGACUACAAAAAAAUUUAUUUUUGUUGUUAUUUCUAUUUGAACCUGUUUUACUGUUUUAAGACUGAAAGUUACUUGUAUCCUGAGGCAUAAUUUUAUGGCCAUUAUGUACCUAAAUAAAAAGUGUAACAUUAGUGUUACACUUUGGACUUUGAAACUUCUAGUUCAACAUUGUAGAUAAGGAUGCUCUCUCCUCCUCCCCAAAUGUGUUAUGCUAUGUCCUCACAUGUAAAAAGAAGUGAGCUGUUCCAUCCCUCUUAGGAAGAGUAAAAUUGUUUCAAAGAGACAUUAGGUAUCUGAAAUUAUAUUGUUUUCCAGUCUGGAAACAAUUGUCCCCAUUAACUUAAAAAAAAAAAUGGAAUCUUUAAUUUUUCAGCUCUGGGUGGAAAUACUUCAGUUUCAAGGAAAACUGUGACAGGGCUUCCUCUUUAAAAGCCUUGGUUUAUGUCGUCUUCAACUUCAUGGACCUCCUGGAAUACCCUUUUGAGAUUUUAUUUAAGGGCAUCUUUGUAUUGCUGUCUCUGACUGUCAUGGAGAAUUCUGUAAUCCUAUGGUGUUUCUGGUUUUAUCUCUAAGUUCUUUCAUGUGUAUCAUGGUCAAGUUAGAUACCAUUUCCCCUGUUUCCUGGGCUCUCUGUAGAUCAGUGGAUAUUAGGUUUCAAUUUCUGUUUUCUUUGAUGAAGCUUUCAAUAAAAAAUGGAAAUAAAA